AAUGUACAACCAAAUAAUGCUCAACCCAAGAAUGUACAGCCCAAUAAUUGGCGUCCAUGGUGGACGCGUAUUAUUGGGCUGUACAUUCCUGGGUUGAGCAUUCUCGGUCCGCGCAAGAUUGGUCCGGGGCGAUAAUACGAAGCCACUCUUUUCACAGGGCAAUAAUGUACGACCCCAUAAUUCGCGUCCACUAAUUUGAGUCCCUUGGCUUUCAAUUAUUGGGCUGCGCAUUAUUGGUACAGGUCGAGAAAGCCCGACCCAAUAAUGUACGACCCAAUAAUUGGAAGCCAAAAACCAGAGACAUUUUUUUUUUUAAGGGAGCUGUCAAAAUUAGUAGGGACGUUCUGACAUUAGCUCUUGACAAUUUAAAAAUAAUCGGUUUUUUCUAGUGCCAUCUUUCAGUGACAUUGACAGUAUUGACACUUGUUGGUUUACAAAUACAAUAAAUAAAUUCUAAUAAAAGAAACAGUAGACUCAGUAGAGGUACGAGGUACUGAAAAAAUAUUAAUUAAUGGAGAAGCCGAAGUUGGAGGAAAACAAGAAGAUUCGAGGAGAAUGGUGUGGCACUUAAUGCCUCCGGGACAGUAACCUAGCUGCAGCUCCAACUCUAGGGAAUUGGGCUGAAUGAACGCAACACGUGAUCGACAGCCCACCUGCUUCCUGCCGAGCGUCCCUACACUACCUCUACAUGGAUGCCUCGCUUAUUCUGCUCUACAAAACUUCUGAGCUGAUACAAGCAGCUAGAAUGAGUCUCUGCUGAGUCGCCGGCGCCGGACGUGCGUCUGACGUCUUCGUGUGAGUCGCCAAUUGCAGGGGAAGAUACGAAUAGUUAGGUAGUCGAAUAGCUACUUUAGUCAACCUUGCCUCAGUACUGUUUGUAUUGACUGAAAUACAAGUAGCAUAUAUGAGAUGUUCGGACGUAUCCGUGAAAAUACGAAGGUAAAGGAAAUUGCACUACAUUUUUAGAACCUAUUCACCUGUCAGUAAAAUAUUGAAAAGGAAAGUUCAUGAGUUUUAUAAUUUUCUUUCCUCCAACAGCUUCACAUGGAGCAAAUGUAAACCUUUUCUGUUAAUAAUAUCAGUAAUGUCAAGGUACAACGCUCUUUAGAGCAUAUUGCCAUUCCUUUUACUCGAGCGGCCUGUGGGUUAACUAUACGAAGCGAGCCUACAAUGCAUUAAAAGUGCAGUAUAACAAUGCAUUCAGAAUGCUGUUGGGCUUACCUCGUAGAUGUA